UGACCUCAAAUGAUCCACCUGCCUUGGCCUUCCAAAAUGCUGAGAUCACAGGCGUGAGCCACCGCACCAUGCAGCAGGCGGAGUUCUCAUCCGCACUUUCCAGAGGGGGAGGCAGGCUCAGGAAGGCCAGGCCACUGGCCCAGGACCCCACACUAGUGAGUAUUGAUACAGGGUCAGCCCUGGAACCCGAGCACAGUGGCAGCACCCCAGGUCAGGGUGCCUGAGGGCUAAGGGCUGUGGGGAUAGGGCCUUGCUGACCCUGUCCUGUACCCUGGCAGGAGGGCACCUCCAAGUUUGCCACCCUGGAGAUGAACCCCAAGAGAGCCCAGAAACGGCCGAAGGAGACGGGCAUCAUCCAGGGCACCGUUCCCUACCUGGGCACGUUCCUCACCGACCUGGUGAUGCUGGACACUGCCAUGAAGGACUAUCUGUAUGGCAGACUCAUCAACUUCGAGAAGAGGAGGAAGGAGUUCGAGGUGAUCGCCCAGAUCAAGCUGCUGCAGUCGGCCUGCAACAACUACAGCAUCACGCCAGAUGAGCAAUUUGGGGCCUGGUUCCGGGCCGUGGAGCGGCUCAGCGAGACUGAGAGCUACAACCUGUCGUGCGAGCUGGAGCCCCCAUCCGAGUCAGCCAGCAACACCCU
rnacentral:sRNA from 1 species